rnacentral:misc_RNA from 1 species
AAUUCUUCUGCUUCGCUAUGUAGUAAGUACUACCAAAAGAGUUUCUAAUUCUCAUUCUCACAUAUGCACUGAUUUUGCACAGAUUUUUUUUCCCUUUUCUUUGUGUUAGCUUCUCAUUUUUUCUUUACUUUUCUCCUGCAUUUGGCUGUCGAAUUUCAUGAGGGAAUAGGAAUUAUCAGUUUCAUUGAAGGGUAUUUUUGUAACAGAAAAGGGAGGUCUGUUCAAGGUCAACAUUUUAUUAAUUAAACCAAACAAUUUUAUUAUAUAAUUAAAUUGUAUUAUUUAGUUUGAUUCAAUUUCUGUCUGGGAUUUCAUAUAUAAAUAUGCCAAUCCUUUAUUAUAUUUUUAAAAGAUAUGUAUCCUUUAA